rnacentral:lncRNA from 1 species
AAAUUAUGGAAUUUGAUUCCACAAAUGUUUAAAUGCUCUAAAUCAUGAUUAAUGGUAUGAAUUGCUGGUUCAUAAGUUCAAUUUAUAACCGAAAAUGACCUAUAAGUAUAAAGACAAUCGUACUUAUAAGAAUAUAAUAGUCGAACUCAUAUUUCUGAACCUUAUUAUAAUAGAUCAAUCUUUUUUGGUUCGCAUAAUGAUAGAGUUAUUUGUAAACUUGGUCUAUCCCUAAUAAGUUUUGGGUUUAGUUCCUACUUCUACCAUUAGUACACCUAAUUAAGUUUAUUUUUAAAUGAAAUAAACGAAGCGGGUAGCGUGCUACCUAUCUCUCUCAAAAAAAAAAAAAAAAAAGUUCGAAUCCUAGUUGAUUCACAUUUCUAGCUAAGUUUAUUUUUAAAUGAAAUAAACGAAGCGGGUAGCGUGCUACCUAUCUCUCUCAAAAAAAAAAAAAAAAAAACAUUAUUUU